rnacentral:rRNA from 1 species
GACGAACGCUGGCGGCGUGCCUAAUACAUGCAAGUCGAGCGAAGUUUUUCCGGUGCUUGCACCGGAAAAACUUAGCGGCGAACGGGUGAGUAACACGUAAAGAACCUGCCUCAUAGACUGGGACAACUAUUGGAAACGAUAGCUAAUACCGGAUAAUAGCAUUAACUGCAUGGUUGAUGUUUAAAAGUUGGUUUUGCUAACACUAUGAGAUGGCUUUGCGGUGCAUUAGCUAGUUGGUGGGGUAAAGGCCUACCAAGGCGACGAUGCAUAGCCGACCUGAGAGGGUGAUCGGCCACACUGGGACUGAGACACGGCCCAGACUCCUACGGGAGGCAGCAGUAGGGAAUCUUCCGCAAUGGGCGAAAGCCUGACGGAGCAACGCCGCGUGAGUGAAGAAGGAUUUCGGUUCGUAAAGCUCUGUUGUUAGGGAAGAAUGAUUGUGUAGUAACUAUACACAGUAGAGACGGUACCUAACCAGAAAGCCACGGCUAACUACGUG